CAGUCGCCGCGGUAAAACGUAGGUGGCAAGCGUUGUCCGGAAUUAUUGGGCGUAAAGGGCUCGCAGGCGGUUUCUUAAGUCUGAUGUGAAAACCCCCGGCUCAACCGGGGAGGGUCAUUGGAAACUGGGAAACUUGAGUGCAGAAGAGGAGAGUGGAAUUCCACGUGUAGCGGUGAAAUGCGUAGAGAUGUGGAGGAACACCAGUGGCGAAGGCGACUCUCUGGUCUGUAACUGACGCUGAGGAGCGAAAGCGUGGGGAGCGAACAGGAUUAGAUACCCGUGUAGUCCCUGUCUCUUAUAA
rnacentral:rRNA from 1 species